rnacentral:tRNA from 1 species
CUUCCGAUAGCUCAAGUGGUAGAGCGCUGGGUGCCCAGCCCAGAGAUGCUGGUUCGAGUCUGGCUCGGAGGU